AACCUGGAAAGAGUUUUGUUCUAGCUGCUGCUGCUGUUGGGAUGGCUGCCAGAAAUGGGCUUGUGAAGGGCGUUGAAGUGGCGGCUGGAGAGGCUGCAACUGAUGCAUUGACUGCUGCAUCAUGGGGAGCAUACUCUGGGUAUCACCUGGUUGCUGACUUGGCCUACUCAAACCCAAUGGUGGCAUCAUUUGAGGAGGUGGGUAAGAAGUUAGGCCAGCA
rnacentral:lncRNA from 1 species